GACGAACCGUGCGAACGUUGUUCGGAAUCACUGGGCGUAAAGGGCGCGUAGGUGGCCCGUCAAGCGCGCGGUGAAAGCCCGGGGCUCAACCCCGGGUCGGCCGUGCGGACUGGCGGGCUCGAGCACUGUAGGGGCGGGUGGAAUUCCGGGUGUAGCGGUGAAAUGCGCAGAUAUCAGGAGGAACACCGGUGGCGAAGGCGGGACUCUGGGCCGAUACUGACGCUGAGGAGCGAAAGCUAGGGGAGCAAACGGG
rnacentral:rRNA from 1 species